AUGCCCCGCAACCCCGUCCUGCUGCUCCUGCUCACGCUCUGUACAGGCUACGUGACCUCCUACAAGCUGACCCAGACACUCUCAGCCUCAGUAGUUCCGGGCCAGUCAGCCACAAUCACCUGCUCUGGAGAAUUACUUAGCAAGAAAUAUACAUCUUGGUACCAGCAGAAGCCUGGCCAGCGCCCUGUGCUGAUUAUUUAUAAGAAUAGUGAAAGGCCCUCGGGGAUCCCUGACCAAUUUUCUGGCUCUAGCUCCGGGACCACAGCCACCCUGACCAUCAGCAGGGCCCAGGCUGAGGAUGAGGCUGACUAUUACUGUCAGUCACGGGACAGCAGCAAUGAUUAA